rnacentral:rRNA from 1 species
GAUGAACGCUGGCGGCGUGCCUAAUACAUGCCAGUCGAGCGAACGGACGAGAAGCUUGCUUCUCUGAUGUUAGCGGCGGACGGGUGAGUAACACGUGGAUAACCUACCUAUAAGACUGGGAUAACUUCGGGAAACCGGAGCUAAUACCGGAUAAUAUUUUGAACCGCAUGGUUCAAAAGUGAAAGACGGUCUUGCUGUCACUUAUAGAUGGAUCCGCACUGCAUUAGCUAGUUGGUAAGGUAACGGCUUACCAAGGCAACGAUGCAUAGCCGACCUGAGAGGGUGAUCGGCCACACUGGAACUGAGACACGGUCCAGACUCCUACGGGAGGCAGCAGUAGGGAAUCUUCCGCAAUGGGCGAAAGCCUGACGGAGCAACGCCGCGUGAGUGAUGAAGGUCUUCGGAUCGUAAAACUCUGUUAUUAGGGAAGAACAUAUGUGUAAGUAACUGUGCACAUCUUGACGGUACCUAAUCAGAAAGCCACGGCUAACUACGUG